UACGUAGGGUGCGAGCGUUGUCCGGAAUUAUUGGGCGUAAAGGGCUCGUAGGCGGUCUGUCGCGUCGGGAGUGAAAACUCAGGGCUUAACUCGGUGCUUGCUUUCGAUACGGGCAGACUAGAGGCAUGCAGGGGAGAACGGAAUUCCUGGUGUAGCGGUGAAAUGCGCAGAUAUCAGGAGGAACACCGGUGGCGAAGGCGGUUCUCUGGGCAUGUCCUGACGCUGAGGAGCGAAAGUGUGGGGAGCGAACAGG
rnacentral:rRNA from 1 species